GGAAAAGCGAUGACGAAGAGAGUAGGUCUUUUGAAUGUUUACAGAGAAGUCCCGCAGAGGCUGAGAGGGAUGGCUGGAGAAAGACUGAAGAUGGCUUCUGAGCAGCGCAGGUGAACAUAAGGAAGCAACGAAUCAGUUUCCUGUGCAAGCAUGCGAUGGGUUCCGCCCGUUACAGCGGCGAGUGUAGAUAUGGACUGCCAAAAACAGCAGACUGUACCCGGUGAGAUUCUUCUUGUGAGGGAAGGAUGAAGAGAAGUGGUAACACGGCAAUAAUCCCGUCUUCUAU
rnacentral:ncRNA from 1 species